rnacentral:rRNA from 1 species
GAUGAACGCUGGCGGCGUGCCUAAUACAUGCAAGUCGGACGCAAUGCUUCGGCAUUGAGUGGCGAACGGGUGAGUAAUACAUAAGCAACCUGCCCCUGUGAGGGGGAUAACUGCUGGAAACGGCAGCUAAGACCGCAUAACAACAAGAGCCGCAUGGUUUUUGUUUGAAAGAUGGCUUUGGCUAUCACUCUGGGAUGGACCUGCGGUGCAUUAGCUAGUUGGUAAGGUAACGGCUUACCAAGGCGAUGAUGCAUAGCCGAGUUGAGAGACUGAUCGGCCACAAUGGAACUGAGACACGGUCCAU